GCCUCGGUGGCGCAGCUGGUAGCGCAUAAGUUUUACAGCACUUAAGGUCGUGAGUUCGAUUCUCACCCGAGGUG
rfam:Musca domestica strain aabys unplaced genomic scaffold Scaffold18653, whole genome shotgun sequence.